rnacentral:rRNA from 1 species
UACGGAGGGUGCUAGCGUUGUUCGGAAUUACUGGGCGUAAAGGGCGCGUAGGCGGCCGUUUGCGUCGGAUGUGAAAGCCCGGGGCUCAACCUCGGAACGGCAUUCGAUACGGUACGGCUGGAGACCGGGAGAGGAGAGUGGAAUAGCCAGUGUAGAGGUGAAAUUCGUAGAUAUUGGCUGGAACACCGGUGGCGAAAGCGGCUCUCUGGCCCGGUUCUGACGCUGAGGCGCGAAAGCGUGGGGAGCAAACAGG